UUUAGGUUGGAGACUACAUAAGACUUUGACAGUUGGCGGGAAACCAUCAUCAACUGGAGAGAUGCCGGAAGAGGAAUGUCUGCGACUAAGUCAAGGGCCACUGGAUAAGGGUUGUUGAUGGCAAAACAGGUUGGAGACUACAUAAGACUUUGACAGUUGGCGGGAAACCAUCAUCAACUGGAGAGAUGCCGGAAGAGGAAUGUCUGCGACUAAGUCAAGGGCCACUGGAUAAGGGUUGUUGAUGGCAAAACAGGUA